rnacentral:rRNA from 1 species
CUACGGGUUGCAGCAGUGGGGAAUAUUGCACAAUGGGCGCAAGCCUGAUGCAGCCAUGCCGCGUGUAUGAAGAAGGCCUUCGGGUUGUAAAGUACUUUCAGCGGGGAGGAAGGGAGUAAAGUUAAUACUUUUGCUCAUUGACGUUACCCGCAGAAGAAGCACCGGCUAACUCGCGUGCCAGCAGCCGCGGUAAUACGGAGGGUGCAAGCGUUAAUCGGAAUUACUGGGCGUAAAGCGCACGCAGGCGGUUUGUUAAGUCAGAUGUGAAAUCCCCGGGCUCAACCUGGGAACUGCAUCUGAUACUGGCAAGCUUGAGUCUCGUAGAGGGGGGUAGAAUUCCAGGUGUAGCGGUGAAAUGCGUAGAGAUCUGGAGGAAUACCGGUGGCGAAGGCGGCCCCCUGGACGAAGACUGACGCUCAGGUGCGAAAGCGUGGGGAGCAAACAGGAUUAAAUACCCCCGUAGUC